AUAUAAACAAUCCCUUGUGACUGUAAAAUAUGCAGCGUUUGGUUGUUGAGCAGUGUCAGUGUAUGCGAUCCAAAGUUGCUGAUCUGAUGAAUGUUUAAUAGUUUUGAUUGCUUUUAUGUAUGUGAAUGCUAGAUUAUGUGUUUUCUAUUGGUGUAGGUUGCUGAGGAUUGAGGAACAUGUCAUUCUAGUUCUUUUUUAUCUGUUCAGUAGAAAGGCAGGUUCUACUGGAGCUACUGACUGGACUACCGCCGUACGAUGAGACCAGGGAGGGGUUCGACCUGCUGUCGCACGUGGAGGAUCACGUGGACGAGCAGAGCCUGCACGAGACGCUGGACAGCCGGGCCGGGCCGAUCCCGCCGGGCCAGGCGGACGCCCUGUACCAGCUGGCCGUGCGCUGCACAGAGGAGAAGCGGCGCCGGCCCCUGAUGGCCGCCGUCCUCCAGCAGCUGGAGCAGAUCCAAUAACGGAACGCCGCCGCUGGUGCAGAUCCAGUAACGGAACACUGCCGCUGAAGCAGACUCGAACUCGAAGACAGAACACUGCGGCUCGAGCAAAUCCAGUGAGAAAGGCUACGGUUGAAGCAGAUCCAAAGGAAUGCUAAAAGGGAUCCAUUGACUAGAUUCAUUGAGACUCGGUAGACCCAAUGGAGGAGUGUUGCAAAUGCAAUGGCGGAAAGGCUGAAGCAUGUCUUUCAACUGUUGCUGAGCGGUAAAGGGUCCCAGGCCAAGAAGCAUUUAUAACAUUCUGAGAAGGAACAGGCAGAAAAUUACUGUGAAGCAGGAGGGAGAACGAAUGGGUUUCUGUCUUUGUCCAAUAGUGAUACACAAGCAGUCGUUUGUGUGGAUUGUGAUGUUAUAAUGUAUGUGAUUGGUUAUAGGUGAAUAAAUGAACAUCGAUAGAAAACAUACGCACAUUCAUUGCCAAUUAUUUAGGUGUACUUUAUGUCAGAGUAUAUUGUUACGUAUUUUAUGUCUAAGUAAUGCCGUUUUUGCUUCCAUGUGAUUGACCGCACUUAUCGCGAUUGCGCUAUUUUGUGCUAAGCCUGUGGACAUUAUAUUGAUUAGGGUGCUGCGGUGGGAAUGUUUGUAAAAUUGGCAACAUCGCUAACCGUUUCAAACGUUCUAUCCCUAUCUAAUUAUUUACUUGCAUAUGGAAUGAUACGAUGUAAUUGAUGAAAUAUGAGUAUCUGUUGUUACCAGUCGCAGGGAAGGGGUAGUUGUACGACGUGUUUUUGUCGUGCCUGCCACCGGGCCUAUCUGUCUGCCAUUGUGUUUCUCAAUUUCCCUAAUGCAGUCGUGUCGAUGGGAGCUGAGACUUUAGAGCUCGUCAUGAAAUGUGUUCUUCUUCAAGGGUAGGUGCGCAAGUUGCUUGAUGGUGCAUGACAUACGGAGCAAUGAUGCCGUGCAAAGUCAAUGAUGGCUUUCUGGUGAAAUUCCAGCAAUUCCUAUUAUAUAAGUGCAUAGAACAGAGAACUGAUAUAAAUAUUGUAUGUCGUUCUGGAAUAUAUUUUUGACCUCGCUGACCCCAACUGCGUUCCGGUACGCCGAUAAUACAUUAUGAAAUAGU
rnacentral:misc_RNA from 1 species